CUAGGUCCACGCCCCUUAAACAGCUCGGCAAUGCCCUUCUGAGUGGCUCUGGGAAAUUGGAGGUGAGCCAAUCCGUACGUGGGAGCGGCUAUAAGGUUUUAGCUUUUAUGUUGAAGGCUAGCGUCGUAGCUACAUCGUUUGCUUGACUCCGGCCUUCACCGCUCCCCGUAUUGGCUUCACCUCUGGCCGGUUCCGUGUGUCCGCCGACUUCUCGGAGUGCAGUUAGUCGCUGAACAUGGGCCUUAUGACCGACCACAGCAGAGCGGUAGGUCACGUUAAACGUUUUUAAAAUAAUAUGUAAACUUGUGUGGGUUUAAUCGUAUGUUCUUUGUGUAGCAGAUCUCGGGCGUAACAGGGGGCGGCAACAUCAAGGCGUCUUGGUCCCAGUUCCGACGAACGCUGCUGUUUUGUCCUGUUUUGUUUUGUUCUGUUGUGUUUGUGUUGUUUCAUUCCGUUGUUGCAUUGGCUGUGUUUAGCCACCAUGAGGUUGAGUGACGACAGGUGUGUUUCGGGUUGCUAUCCGAGUGACUACGAAUUCAGUCCGGUUACAGGGGCUAUUCCUUAUCUUGUGUACACUGCGUGUCAUGAUUAUGCAUGGAGUGAUUGUGCCAAUUAACACUGUUUGCCGUGAGUGCAUUUGAAGUGCUAUUUAUUCACGAGUGUCUCCAUUCCCUGAAUAGUCACCUCUACUGACUUUAGCGAACUCACUCUGGAGAGUAGCCUUCUACUACUGCUGUUAGCGAACCCAUACUGGAGAAUACUGCUGACCUGGGCGAACCCACACUGGAGAGAACUCACUCCCUUUGUUUUACUGAUUAUAAUAAAAAGAGUUUAUUUUUGGACACGCGCCUCUCUGGUUUUCUGUGACCCCGAACCUGUGUUGCCUACAGCUUAAUUGAUUAACCAGUCAAAAGGAAUUCAUAUUCUGAGGGGAAGGGCCUCAGAUGGCGUAGUCGUCAUGCAAUGUAUAGCAAACCAUCCACUUUGCCACAUUUGGCGUAGUUGGCAGAGGAUCACAUAGCAAAGCCAGAGACGUGUGUUCCAAUGUUUUUCUGUCUGUUGUAACUUUGUCUUUGUUUUGUCGUAUUACUAUUGGUUAUCUUUAUUUUUUUUAUGUCUUUUGUAACUUUGUCUUUGCUUGGUCGUAUUACUAUUGGUUUAUUUUUUUUCUCAGACAAAACAGCAGCUGUUUGUGGGACCAAGAAGGAGUCAGGUAGGCUUGGUGCAUGGCCAGCUUCGGUUGAGUUUUGUGUCCCCCCCCCGUCCCCGUCCCCGUCCCCGUCCCCCCCCCAUUGCCCUUUUUCCUCCUUUCCCCCCCCCUCCUGUUUUGUACGGCGUGUAGCUCAAUGCAGCGCUGUAGCCAGGGUAGCUCCCCACCUAUGCCUUUGGGUCAUGGGUCGCCAUAAGGGCGACAGCCAUUAGCGGGGCCUGGUGUUAAUGCCUCCCUGGUACCCCCCCCCCCCCCCUCCUCCUUUCCCCCUUCCCCCAUCUUGUACAGCGUGUAGCUCAAUGCAGCGCUGUAGCCAGGGAAGCUCCCCACCUAUGCCUUUGGGUCAUGGGUCGCCAUGAGGGCGACAGCCAUUAGCGGGGCCUGGUGUUAAUGCCUCCCUGGUACCCCCCCCCCUCCUCCUUUCCCCCUUCCCCCAUCUUGUACAGCGUGUAGCCCAAUGCAGCGCUGUAGCCAGGGAAGCUCCCCACCUAUGCCUUUGGGUCAUGGGUCGCCAUGAGGGCGACAGCCAUUAGCGGGGCCUGGUGUUAAUGCCUCCCUGGUACCCCCCCCUCCUCCUUUCCCCCUUCCCCCAUCUUGUACAGCGUGUAGCUCAAUGCAGCGCUGUAGCCAGGGUAGCUCCCCACCUAUGCCUUUGGGUCAUGGGUCGCCAUGAGGGCGACAGCCAUUAGCGGGGCCUGGUGUUGUUGCCUUCCUGGUACCCCCCCCCCCCCCCCUUCCCAGUUUCUACAGCGCGUAGCUCACUGCAGCGCUGUAGCCAGGGUAGCUCCCCACCUGCGCCUUUGGGUCAUGGGUCGCCAUGAGAGCGACAGCCAUUAGCGGGGCCUGGUGUUGUUGCCUUCCUGGUGCCCCCCCCCCCCUUCUCCAAGGUGUACAGCGUCGCCUCAUUUUAGGUUAAUCGUCGGGGCGACGAUUCAAAAGCCUUGGGAAGAAUGUAGCAGGACUAGGUCCACGCCCCUUAAACAGCUCGGCAAUGCCCUUCUGAGUGGCUCUGGGAAAUUGGAGGUGAGCCAAUCCGUACGUGGGAGCGGCUAUAAGGUUUUAGCUUUUAUGUUGAAGGCUAGCGUCGUAGCUACAUCGUUUGCUUGACUCCGGCCUUCACCGCUCCCCGUAUUGGCUUCACCUCUGGCCGGUUCCGUGUGUCCGCCGACUUCUCGGUAGGUGAUGGAAGUAUUGUGUUUGUUGUUGGCUACGUUUGUAUCAGUCAGUGGGCUAACUCAAACAUUGGGGUUUAGGAGUGCAGUUAGUCGCUGAACAUGGGCCUUAUGACCGACCACAGCAGAGCGGUAGGUCACGUUAAACGUUUUUAAAAUAAUAUGUAAACUUGUGUGGGUUUAAUCGUAUGUUCUUUGUGUAGCAGAUCUCGGGCGUAACAGGGGGCGGCAACAUCAAGGCGUCUUGGUCCCAGUUCCGACGAACGCUGCUGUUUUGUCCUGUUUUGUUUUGUUCUGUUGUGUUUGUGUUGUUUCAUUCCGUUGUUGCAUUGGCUGUGUUUAGCCACCAUGAGGUUGAGUGACGACAGGUGUGUUUCGGGUUGCUAUCCGAGUGACUACGAAUUCAGUCCGGUUACAGGGGCUAUUCCUUAUCUUGUGUACACUGCGUGUCAUGAUUAUGCAUGGAGUGAUUGUGCCAAUUAACACUGUUUGCCGUGAGUGCAUUUGAAGUGCUAUUUAUUCACGAGUGUCUCCAUUCCCUGAAUAGUCACCUCUACUGACUUUAGCGAACUCACUCUGGAGAGUAGCCUUCUACUACUGCUGUUAGCGAACCCAUACUGGAGAAUACUGCUGACCUGGGCGAACCCACACUGGAGAGAACUCACUCCCUUUGUUUUACUGAUUAUAAUAAAAAGAGUUUAUUUUUGGACACGCGCCUCUCUGGUUUUCUGUGACCCCGAACCUGUGUUGCCUACAGCUUAAUUGAUUAACCAGUCAAAAGGAAUUCAUAUUCUGAGGGGAAGGGCCUCAGAUGGCGUAGUCGUCAUGCAAUGUAUAGCAAACCAUCCACUUUGCCACAUUUGGCGUAGUUGGCAGAGGAUCACAUAGCAAAGCCAGAGACGUGUGUUCCAAUGUUUUUCUGUCUGUUGUAACUUUGUCUUUGUUUUGUCGUAUUACUAUUGGUUAUCUUUAUUUUUUUUAUGUCUUUUGUAACUUUGUCUUUGCUUGGUCGUAUUACUAUUGGUUUAUUUUUUUUCUCAGACAAAACAGCAGCUGUUUGUGGGACCAAGAAGGAGUCAGGUAGGCUUGGUGCAUGGCCAGCUUCGGUUGAGUUUUGUGUCCCCCCCCCGUCCCCGUCCCCGUCCCCGUCCCCCCCCCAUUGCCCUUUUUCCUCCUUUCCCCCCCCCUCCUGUUUUGUACGGCGUGUAGCUCAAUGCAGCGCUGUAGCCAGGGUAGCUCCCCACCUAUGCCUUUGGGUCAUGGGUCGCCAUAAGGGCGACAGCCAUUAGCGGGGCCUGGUGUUAAUGCCUCCCUGGUACCCCCCCCCCCCCCCUCCUCCUUUCCCCCUUCCCCCAUCUUGUACAGCGUGUAGCUCAAUGCAGCGCUGUAGCCAGGGAAGCUCCCCACCUAUGCCUUUGGGUCAUGGGUCGCCAUGAGGGCGACAGCCAUUAGCGGGGCCUGGUGUUAAUGCCUCCCUGGUACCCCCCCCCCUCCUCCUUUCCCCCUUCCCCCAUCUUGUACAGCGUGUAGCCCAAUGCAGCGCUGUAGCCAGGGAAGCUCCCCACCUAUGCCUUUGGGUCAUGGGUCGCCAUGAGGGCGACAGCCAUUAGCGGGGCCUGGUGUUAAUGCCUCCCUGGUACCCCCCCCUCCUCCUUUCCCCCUUCCCCCAUCUUGUACAGCGUGUAGCUCAAUGCAGCGCUGUAGCCAGGGUAGCUCCCCACCUAUGCCUUUGGGUCAUGGGUCGCCAUGAGGGCGACAGCCAUUAGCGGGGCCUGGUGUUGUUGCCUUCCUGGUACCCCCCCCCCCCCCCCUUCCCAGUUUCUACAGCGCGUAGCUCACUGCAGCGCUGUAGCCAGGGUAGCUCCCCACCUGCGCCUUUGGGUCAUGGGUCGCCAUGAGAGCGACAGCCAUUAGCGGGGCCUGGUGUUGUUGCCUUCCUGGUGCCCCCCCCCCCCUUCUCCAAGGUGUACAGCGUCGCCUCAUUUUAGGUUAAUCGUCGGGGCGACGAUUCAAAAGCCUUGGGAAGAAUGUAGCAGGACUAGGUCCACGCCCCUUAAACAGCUCGGCAAUGCCCUUCUGAGUGGCUCUGGGAAAUUGGAGGUGAGCCAAUCCGUACGUGGGAGCGGCUAUAAGGUUUUAGCUUUUAUGUUGAAGGCUAGCGUCGUAGCUACAUCGUUUGCUUGACUCCGGCCUUCACCGCUCCCCGUAUUGGCUUCACCUCUGGCCGGUUCCGUGUGUCCGCCGACUUCUCGGUAGGUGAUGGAAGUAUUGUGUUUGUUGUUGGCUACGUUUGUAUCAGUCAGUGGGCUAACUCAAACAUUGGGGUUUAGGAGUGCAGUUAGUCGCUGAACAUGGGCCUUAUGACCGACCACAGCAGAGCGGUAGGUCACGUUAAACGUUUUUAAAAUAAUAUGUAAACUUGUGUGGGUUUAAUCGUAUGUUCUUUGUGUAGCAGAUCUCGGGCGUAACAGGGGGCGGCAACAUCAAGGCGUCUUGGUCCCAGUUCCGACGAACGCUGCUGUUUUGUCCUGUUUUGUUUUGUUCUGUUGUGUUUGUGUUGUUUCAUUCCGUUGUUGCAUUGGCUGUGUUUAGCCACCAUGAGGUUGAGUGACGACAGGUGUGUUUCGGGUUGCUAUCCGAGUGACUACGAAUUCAGUCCGGUUACAGGGGCUAUUCCUUAUCUUGUGUACACUGCGUGUCAUGAUUAUGCAUGGAGUGAUUGUGCCAAUUAACACUGUUUGCCGUGAGUGCAUUUGAAGUGCUAUUUAUUCACGAGUGUCUCCAUUCCCUGAAUAGUCACCUCUACUGACUUUAGCGAACUCACUCUGGAGAGUAGCCUUCUACUACUGCUGUUAGCGAACCCAUACUGGAGAAUACUGCUGACCUGGGCGAACCCACACUGGAGAGAACUCACUCCCUUUGUUUUACUGAUUAUAAUAAAAAGAGUUUAUUUUUGGACACGCGCCUCUCUGGUUUUCUGUGACCCCGAACCUGUGUUGCCUACAGCUUAAUUGAUUAACCAGUCAAAAGGAAUUCAUAUUCUGAGGGGAAGGGCCUCAGAUGGCGUAGUCGUCAUGCAAUGUAUAGCAAACCAUCCACUUUGCCACAUUUGGCGUAGUUGGCAGAGGAUCACAUAGCAAAGCCAGAGACGUGUGUUCCAAUGUUUUUCUGUCUGUUGUAACUUUGUCUUUGUUUUGUCGUAUUACUAUUGGUUAUCUUUAUUUUUUUUAUGUCUUUUGUAACUUUGUCUUUGCUUGGUCGUAUUACUAUUGGUUUAUUUUUUUUCUCAGACAAAACAGCAGCUGUUUGUGGGACCAAGAAGGAGUCAGGUAGGCUUGGUGCAUGGCCAGCUUCGGUUGAGUUUUGUGUCCCCCCCCCGUCCCCGUCCCCGUCCCCGUCCCCCCCCCAUUGCCCUUUUUCCUCCUUUCCCCCCCCCUCCUGUUUUGUACGGCGUGUAGCUCAAUGCAGCGCUGUAGCCAGGGUAGCUCCCCACCUAUGCCUUUGGGUCAUGGGUCGCCAUAAGGGCGACAGCCAUUAGCGGGGCCUGGUGUUAAUGCCUCCCUGGUACCCCCCCCCCCCCCCUCCUCCUUUCCCCCUUCCCCCAUCUUGUACAGCGUGUAGCUCAAUGCAGCGCUGUAGCCAGGGAAGCUCCCCACCUAUGCCUUUGGGUCAUGGGUCGCCAUGAGGGCGACAGCCAUUAGCGGGGCCUGGUGUUAAUGCCUCCCUGGUACCCCCCCCCCCUCCUCCUUUCCCCCUUCCCCCAUCUUGUACAGCGUGUAGCCCAAUGCAGCGCUGUAGCCAGGGAAGCUCCCCACCUAUGCCUUUGGGUCAUGGGUCGCCAUGAGGGCGACAGCCAUUAGCGGGGCCUGGUGUUAAUGCCUCCCUGGUACCCCCCCCUCCUCCUUUCCCCCUUCCCCCAUCUUGUACAGCGUGUAGCUCAAUGCAGCGCUGUAGCCAGGGUAGCUCCCCACCUAUGCCUUUGGGUCAUGGGUCGCCAUGAGGGCGACAGCCAUUAGCGGGGCCUGGUGUUGUUGCCUUCCUGGUACCCCCCCCCCCCCCCCUUCCCAGUUUCUACAGCGCGUAGCUCACUGCAGCGCUGUAGCCAGGGUAGCUCCCCACCUGCGCCUUUGGGUCAUGGGUCGCCAUGAGAGCGACAGCCAUUAGCGGGGCCUGGUGUUGUUGCCUUCCUGGUGCCCCCCCCCCCCCUUCUCCAAGGUGUACAGCGUCGCCUCAUUUUAGGUUAAUCGUCGGGGCGACGAUUCAAAAGCCUUGGGAAGAAUGUAGCAGGACUAGGUCCACGCCCCUUAAACAGCUCGGCAAUGCCCUUCUGAGUGGCUCUGGGAAAUUGGAGGUGAGCCAAUCCGUACGUGGGAGCGGCUAUAAGGUUUUAGCUUUUAUGUUGAAGGCUAGCGUCGUAGCUACAUCGUUUGCUUGACUCCGGCCUUCACCGCUCCCCGUAUUGGCUUCACCUCUGGCCGGUUCCGUGUGUCCGCCGACUUCUCGGUAGGUGAUGGAAGUAUUGUGUUUGUUGUUGGCUACGUUUGUAUCAGUCAGUGGGCUAACUCAAACAUUGGGGUUUAGGAGUGCAGUUAGUCGCUGAACAUGGGCCUUAUGACCGACCACAGCAGAGCGGUAGGUCACGUUAAACGUUUUUAAAAUAAUAUGUAAACUUGUGUGGGUUUAAUCGUAUGUUCUUUGUGUAGCAGAUCUCGGGCGUAACAGGGGGCGGCAACAUCAAGGCGUCUUGGUCCCAGUUCCGACGAACGCUGCUGUUUUGUCCUGUUUUGUUUUGUUCUGUUGUGUUUGUGUUGUUUCAUUCCGUUGUUGCAUUGGCUGUGUUUAGCCACCAUGAGGUUGAGUGACGACAGGUGUGUUUCGGGUUGCUAUCCGAGUGACUACGAAUUCAGUCCGGUUACAGGGGCUAUUCCUUAUCUUGUGUACACUGCGUGUCAUGAUUAUGCAUGGAGUGAUUGUGCCAAUUAACACUGUUUGCCGUGAGUGCAUUUGAAGUGCUAUUUAUUCACGAGUGUCUCCAUUCCCUGAAUAGUCACCUCUACUGACUUUAGCGAACUCACUCUGGAGAGUAGCCUUCUACUACUGCUGUUAGCGAACCCAUACUGGAGAAUACUGCUGACCUGGGCGAACCCACACUGGAGAGAACUCACUCCCUUUGUUUUACUGAUUAUAAUAAAAAGAGUUUAUUUUUGGA